rnacentral:rRNA from 1 species
GACGAACGCUGGCGGCGUGCCUAAUACAUGCAAGUAGAACGCUGAAGGAGGAGCUUGCUCUUCUGGAUGAGUUGCGAACGGGUGAGUAACGCGUAGGUAACCUGCCUGGUAGCGGGGGAUAACUAUUGGAAACGAUAGCUAAUACCGCAUAACAGUAGAUGUUGCAUGACAUUUACUUAAAAGGUGCAAUUGCAUCACUACCAGAUGGACCUGCGUUGUAUUAGCUAGUUGGUGGGGUAACGGCUCACCAAGGCGACGAUACAUAGCCGACCUGAGAGGGUGAUCGGCCACACUGGGACUGAGACACGGCCCAGACUCCUACGGGAGGCAGCAGUAGGGAAUCUUCGGCAAUGGACGGAAGUCUGACCGAGCAACGCCGCGUGAGUGAAGAAGGUUUUCGGAUCGUAAAGCUCUGUUGUAAGAGAAGAACGAGUGUGAGAGUGGAAAGUUCACACUGUGACGGUAUCUUACCAGGAAGGGACGGCUAACUACGUG